AGCUGCAGUAGACCCAGACUCUGUAGUCAAGACGACAGAGCUGCAGUAGACCCAGACUCUGUAGUCAGGACGACAGAGCUGCAGUAGACCCAGACUCUGUAGUCAAGACGACAGUGUGUCUGGUGAGGCAGGUCGUAUGUUGUCCAGACAGGCCAGGCAGGUCUAAUGUUGUCCAGACAGGCCAGGCAGGUCUAAUGUUGUCCAGACAGGCCAGGCAGGUCGUGUGUUGUACUGACAGGCCAGGCAGGUUGUGUGUUGUACUGACAGGCCAGGCAGGUCUAAUGUUGUCCAGACAGGCCAGGCAGGUCUAAUGUUGUCCAGACAGGCCAGGCAGGUUGUGUGUUGUCCAGACAGGCCAGGCAGGUCGUGUGUUGUACUGACAGGCCAGGCAGGUCUAAUGUUGUCCAGACAGGCCAGGCAGGUCUAAUGUUGUCCAGACAGGCCAGGCAGGUCUAAUGUUGUCCAGACAGGCCAGGCAGGUCUAAUGUUGUCCAGACAGGCCAGGCAGGUCUAAUGUUGUCCAGACAGGCCAGGCAGGUCUAAUGUUGUCCAGACAGGCCAGGCAGGUUGUGUGUUGUACUGACAGGCCAGGCAGGUCUAAUGUUGUCCAGACAGGCCAGGCAGGUCUAAUGUUGUCCAGACAGGCCAGGCAGGUCGUGUGUUGUACUGACAGGCCAGGCAGGUCUAAUGUUGUCCAGACAGGCCAGGCAGGUCUAAUGUUGUCCAGACAGGCCAGGCAGGUCUAAUGUUGUCCAGACAGGCCAGGCAGGUCUAAUGUUGUCCAGACAGGCCAGGCAGGUUGUGUGUUGUACUGACAGGCCAGGCAGGUCGUAUGUAG